rnacentral:sRNA from 1 species
UCUGAGCGUUAGGGAUAGAAGCGGUAUCCUUUUUAUUUUUUCUUUAAAAAUAAAAAGAUAUAGCGGAUAGCCCGUUCGCCG